rnacentral:misc_RNA from 1 species
UUUUGGUAGAGGCCACUACAAUCAAGCUCCUAUCAAGUCAUUCGAUGCCUGAGAAAAAUAAGCUCCAUAAAAGGUUGUACAUUCUUGAGGUAUACGCCAUUGCCAUUUGAAUAAUACAACCUAGAAAAAUAAUUCUAAAAGAAAAAGGAAAUUAAUAAUUCAAUUGCUGUGAGGACUGAUAAAGCAUUUUACCGAACCUAUUGAGGUGUAUUAAUAAUAGUUAGCAUCUUUUACUGAUGGUAUGUUGGAUUCCUGGUACAUAUUGAUUCAUGUAACUCUGUCCAUAGCAUUGGCACAUAAGCUCUCUCUCCUGCAGGCUUGCUACCAUUCCUUUACCUACUGAAAUGUGUAUGAACAUUGCUGCUAGAGAUCUCAUCAAAUUAUGAUAAUACCUCUGGCUUUGUUAGGCUUAAGUGAGAUUAGAUUGAACAGUAUAUUUUUAAUUCAUUAAAUUUUACAUGCUUGAGUUGGCGUGGGUGCCUCAGAAUUUCAUUGGUGCAAUGCUUUCUAGUGCUUUUUAACUGCUUCAGUCAAUAUGGUUUAUGCCUUUAAACUUUCUAGUAUCCUUGUUGUCCUCAAAGGUAUUUCUUCUGGUGCACCUGAAUAUCUUUACCCUGACCAAAUUUUCUGUCUUUUCUGGUUCAUAUUCCUCAUGACAAUAAUUUUUUUUUUUUUAAUGGAAGUAAUAUAGGAUCGCAUUUGUUUGUGUAACAAUGUGUUUAGCUUUCUAACCCACAUUAUCAUAACAUUGAGUUUUGGACUUUUCCCUUUUGGAAUGCUUUUGCGUUGUUCAGUGACCACAUGCGCUUUAGCAAG